rnacentral:rRNA from 1 species
CCUACGGGAGGCAGCAGUGGGGAAUAUUGCACAAUGGGGGAAACCCUGAUGCAGCGACGCCGCGUGAGCGAUGAAGUAUUUCGGUAUGUAAAGCUCUAUCAGCAGGGAAGAAAAUGACGAUACCUGACUAAGAAGCCCCGGCUAACUACGUGCCAGCAGCCGCGGUAAUACGUAGGGGGCAAGCGUUAUCCGGAUUUACUGGGUGUAAAGGGAGCGUAGACGGCGAUGCAAGCCAGAUGUGAAAGGCCGGGGCGCAACCCCGGGACUGCUUUUGGAACUGUUUAGCUGGAGUGUCGGAGAGGCAGGCGGAAGUCCUAGGGUAGCGGUGAAAUGCGUAGAUAUUAGGAGGAACACCAGUGGCGAAGGCGGCCUGCUGGACGAUGACUGACGUUGAGGCUCGAAAGCGUGGGGAGCAAACAGGAUUAGAUACCCUGGUAGUC